rnacentral:rRNA from 1 species
UACGUAGGGUGCAAGCGUUGUCCGGAAUUAUUGGGCGUAAAGAGCUCGUAGGCGGCUUGUCGCGUCGGCUGCGAAAACCUGGGGCUCAACCCCGGGCCUGCAGCCGAUACGGGCAAGCUAGAAUUCGGUAGGGGAGACUGGAAUUCCUGGUGUAGCGGUGAAAUGCGCAGAUAUCAGGAGGAACACCCGUGGCUAAGGCGGCUCUCUAGUACGGUACUGACGCUGAGACGCGAAAGCGUGGGGAGCGAACAGG